rnacentral:rRNA from 1 species
CAGCCGCCGCGGGAAUACAGAGGGUGCAAGCGUUAAUCGGAAUUACUGGGCGUAAAGCGCGCGUAGGUGGUUCGCCAAGUUGGAUGUGAAAUCCCCGGGCUCAACCUGGGAACUGCAUCCAAAACUGGCGAGCUAGAGUAUGGUAGAGGGUGGUGGAAUUUCCUGUGUAGCGGUGAAAUGCGUAGAUAUAGGAAGGAACAUCAGUGGCGAAGGCGACCACCUGGACUGAUACUGACACUGAGGUGCGAAAGCGUGGGGAGCAAACAGGAUUAGAUACCCCCGUAGUCCCUGUCUCUUAUAC